ensembl:lncRNA
GUGUGCCAUGUGGGUGCAGAAUCUCAGGAAUGGAUCUUUGAUGGGGAUAAGCUCUCAGCGGCUCCAUCACAACUAUAGGGUGUGCAGUGCACAUUUUCACGCUAGCCAGUUUAAGAGACCAUCUGAUGUCCAUGCAGGAUUGAAAUGGGAUGCAGUGCCCACAAUGGUUAAUGACCCUAACCCACCACCCCAAUUGGACUUGGAGUUAAAGAGAAAGCCACGAAAGACGUGUCAGGAGUUACCACAAAAGAGACGUAAAAAAAAAAAGUAAUAUUGUUUACCUGCCAAAUACCGGCUCAACCACUGCAAACAGUGUUCAACAACCCACUGGUUCAGAGACCGAUAUUACCUCUCCUGAUGCUUCAGGAGCAAGACCUUCGAUGUCACUGACUCCACUGUUGACCCCAAUGUCACUGCCAACAGGCCUUGAAGCGUCUGCCAGGGAACAUGCCCUGAAGAUGAAGAUUAGGAGUCUGAAGGUACAGGUGUGCAAACUGAAGGCAGAAGUGAACAGGCUGAAGAAGACCAGGAAGGCCUGUGUUAAUAAGGAGUCAGUGAUGAAGCAGUUGAAGAAACUCUUACCAGCAAAAGCAUAUGCUUUUGUGAGUGAACAGAUACAUAUGUUUCAACGGAAGGCUCAUGGUUUUCAGUGGACCACUCAGGACAAAGCUUUCUUCUUGUCUCUGCUACAUGCCAGUCCAAAGUGUUACAGGCUGCUGUUUAAAGUGUUUUCUAUGCCAUCUGUCCGCACACUGCAGAAGCUUAUGAAGUCUGUCAAUAUUGAGAAGAGUAUUGGCAAACACAGCUAUGCAAGAGUGCCUGCUGACUGUAGAGUAGAUGAAACGGGCACCAUAUAUGAAGAUCCACCAGUCACUGCCAAAGCUGAACAGGUGGAGCAGCCCAUAGACCAUACACUUGACAAUCAGUUUGAUUCCCACCAAAUAUCUUCUUUUAGUUUUGGAGAUCAUGAACAGUGAUGCUGUGCUGAAGUCUGAUGUGAGGGUGUCCUACCAAAACAUGUCCUGGACCUGCUGAGUGACAUGAGAUAAGGUCACCAGUUUCAGCAGCAUUUGCCUUUGACCGUGAUGGAAGUGUACUGGUUUACAUAGCUGGGUAUAUGGCCAGUAAGGUUGUGGGGAAAUAAGCUGUCAGUGAAGAUUUUCCACUGUAAGGAAUGUAAAAUCUCGACCACAGAUAUCCCUGCUGAUUCACAGUACACAUUCGUCAAAGACAAACUGUAUACUGACCUCAACUUAGGAGAGAAGAGCCUUAAAGUGGCCAGCAUGGCACUGGUGAAUUUAGUCAAAGCUCUGGAGUCUAACUUCCAAAGGAAUAAAUAAAUAAAGAUCAGCUCA